rnacentral:lncRNA from 1 species
CCCCCCAGUCCCGAAGGGGACCCAGGUGUCCUGCGAGGCCGAGCUGGCCCUCAAGCCAUCCCCCCCCCAUGAUGUCCUUGAUGCCACCGGCCGGGAUGCCGGGGCUGUCACUGCCACUGCGGUGUCCCCGCGGGAUGCGGCCCCCUUCCCUGAGCUCCCAGCAGGGACAGGGCAGGCGGAGGCUUCCCGUGGGGGGAAAGGAGGUGGCUGGGACCUCCCGGGCCCUGCAGUGGGGUGGGAGGACCCACAUCCAGGCUGAGCUCAGGGGGUUGGGUUGGGGGUCGCCUCUUGCCUAGGAGCAGGACAGGSACCACGGUGGGGGGUCCCCAGUGGUCCCCAAAGCCCAGCCCGGCCUGCGGCGGCGGCGGCCCCGUUACCUGUGGCCUCCACCAUGCCCUCGAGGAUGACGACGAUCUCGAAGUCGUCCUUCUCCAGCUGCUGCCGGGAGACGUCCCAGAAGGGGCUGCGCUCGUCGAUCUCGUGGCUGAUGAUGAGGGGCGAGACGAGGAAGAGGCGGUCGUCGCCCGUCUCGAAGCCCACGCUGAGGUCCGUCUGGUCGAGGGGGAUGAACUCGCCCUCCUGCGUCUGCUUGGACUUGAUGAGCUUGGCGCGGAUGGAGGCCUCGACGAUGUGCGAGUCGCGCAGGUCGCCCACGCGGAACAUGAGGCAGAGGCGGUCGUCCCGCAGCGAGACCACGGCGUGCGAGGAGAAGACCAGCGUCUCGGCCCGCUUGUUGGGCUGCGAGAUCUUCACGAACAUGCAGCCCACCAUGAAGGCGUUGACCAUGGAGCCCAGGAUGGCCUGGAGCAGCAGCAGCACGAUGCCCUCGGGACACUUGUCCGUGAUGACGCGGUGGCCGUAGCCGAUGGUGGUCUCCGUCUCGAUGGAGAAGAGGAAGGCCGAGACGAAGCCGUUGAGGUUGUUGACGCACGGCGUCCACGCGUGGUCCUCCAGGUGGUCCAGGUCGCCCCGGCAGUAGGCGAUGAACCACCAGAUGAGGCCGAAGAAGAGCCAGGUGACGGCGUAGGCGAGGAUGAAGACGAGGAGGCUGAAGCGCCACUCGAGGUCCACCAGCGUGGUGAAGAUGUCGGUGAGGUAGCGGUAGGUCUCGCGCACGUUGCCGUGCUGCACGUUGCACUUGCCGUCCUUCUCCACGUAGCGCUGGCGCGUGCGGCCGGCGGGG